AAGCUUAUAACGAUACCUACUUCAUCUUCAUUUCCUUCAGGGAAAGCAUCACCAGUGCUGCCAAAAACCACCUUCUUCUCUAAGUACUUCGACACUGAGGUGUUAACGUUCAACACGUUUCCGACAUCGGAGUACAGUAGUGUGAUUAAAAGUGUUGGAACGGGGUCGGUUUUGUUUUUCAUACGAAGAAGACGAAGGUUUUUGUCCCUGAGCGAAUCAAAUAAUUGUUUGAAACCGUCGUUUCCGACACGGGGACAACCGAACACGAAGGCGGUCACCAUGAACGUCGCGUUGCUUGUGGUGGGCUUGUUGUAUUCAUUGGCAACUAUGUCCAUUGCGGUCAAUGUUGCUAGUGCUCCGCCUAGGCUAAAGCCUGUUACGGUUAUGCUUAGUUCUUCAUGUUUGUACUUGUUCACUAGUUUCUUUACAGCAGCUAGGACCUGCAGAAGGGCAAGAAAUGGGUCAAGAAUUUUAUAUUAGUCGAGUUAGUAAUUGAUUUGAAACUUUAAAAAAUUAAAUUAAAAUCUUAUUUAUAAUAAGAUUGAAUUCCAAAUAAUGCUUUUAAAAAUUGAAGUAGACAUCAAAUCGAUUAAAUUAUUAAUUUUGUAUUUUAAUUUAACUGUCGAUUCAAUAAUAAUUAAAUAAAUAAUUAUAAAAAAUAAUAAAAAAUAAAAUAUUUAUAAAUUUAUAAAUUGGUUUAACUUGUUUAACUAUUAAAUUUUUUGUCUCAAGUUUUCAAUUUUUUUAUCUUCAUAAGGGGCUUGAUUUAUAUUUGAAUUUAUGCCACCGAUUGAACCGUUCAACCGACCAGUUUGCAUUAGCAAAAUUGAAAAUAGGAAAUUUUUCAUUUAACCUCCUUUAUAAUUUAUAAAAUUUUAAAUUAAUAAUAAAAUUACAAUUUAGUAUCCAAAAUGAUAAAAAAUUAAUUUAAUUUUUUAAAAAUAAUAAAGAAACAAACAAUUAAAAUGAUGAAAUUAUAAUUUUACUAUCGUAAAAAUGUCCAAUUUAAUUCCGACCUCUCAAAAAACUUUUUGACUUCGCCUCUACUAGUCUAGUUAGAUUUUUAACAUCACUAAUUUGAACACAUUAAUUUAAAAAAUCAAAAUAAUAAAAUAAACAUUUUAGAAUAAUAAAUUUAUUUGAUAAUUUACUGUUAAAAUAAUUAAAUAGUUUCUAUAAAAUUGGGAAGUUUUUUAAAAAUUUUAAUUUGAGUUUUAAAAAUUUGACUUUAAAAAAGAAUUAAAUAACUAAAUAUUAAAAAAAAAUCGAUAUUUUCGACAAUUACCUGCUCUCUAGCACUAGUUUUGCUAUGAAUAGAAUCCGGUACCGUCCCAAUAUAAAGCGAGUGGAAACCACUGUGCACUAAAGCAUUGUAUUCAGCGGCAGUCGGGAACAAGUCGGAAGGUGAUACCCGCCGAACCAAUAAAUCACCGACCCAUUCCGAUAGCGUUCCGGUCCCUCUCCAAGCAACCAAAACAUCCCUCCGUCCCAGUACUUGCUUCCCUUCAUCGGUGCUCACCGCCACAAAUCCGAUCCAUGCCGACUUAACAAUGUCCGAGCCAGCAUAAAUGAAGUCAGUGACCUCGUACUUGUAGGGGUUUCCUUUUAUGAGACAAGCCUCGGUGAAAAACUUUUCUUUCGAGGUUUUAGGACCGUAAGUGUUAGGGUCGAAGAGGUCUCCGGCAGCUGAAGUCCUUUGACCAUAGUGAAUUAUAUACUGACGGAGAUCAGUGUCUACUGGAUGUAGUAGACCUUCCCAUUCGUUCUCCCCACUGAGUUCUCUCCAACGAGUUGCUAUGGAGUUGGCCAUUACUCUUUUCUUCUCUGUGUUUUACUUGUAUGCUACUGAUCAGUUGUCUCCAACGAGUUGCAAUGGAGUUGGCCAUGGUCGGGUGCUUUAUAUAGAGCAAAUCUCUCGGAUAAAGCCUAAAACGCUCAUACCAACUUUGCAAUUGAGUUCACAUCAUGUAAAACAAAAUAUUAAUUAUAAUUAUUAAACAUAAACAAAUAUAAAAAUAUUAAAUUUGAAAUCUAAAACUCUGAAAGAUUAAUAAAAAGAAAUUAUAAUUAAUAGUUAAUUUUAAGAAUGUUCAAUCAGUUUACCUGAACUAGUAUUAACCGAAUUAAUUGAUCUUUUUAAACUCUUAACGUUUAACCGAAUCGAAAUUUUUUCAAAAAAAUUUAAUCGAACUGAACUUUUUCAGUUAAUUCAGUCAAUUAACCGAUUUCGAACCAAAUUAACUGUUAACUGAAUUUUCAAAAAAUUAUUAACCGACUCCCGACCGAAUUAAUUCGAUUAACCGACCAAUUAACCUAAUUAAUUCGAUUCGAUUAAUAAAAUUAAUUUUACCCGAAAUUUACACACCCCUAUUUAACCCAGUUUAAAUAAAGUUAAUAUUAUCAUCUUUUAAUAUUUUUUUAUUUUACACCAUGAUUAUAUGUUAUUUUAUUAUUAAUUAAUAAUGUAUUGUAUAUUAAAUUUUUUUAUAUGAUGCUCAAUUUUUUUUAUUUUUUAUAUUGUUACUGUGUUAAAUUUAUGACCAAUGCAAACAACAAUAUUAUUAUUUUAAAAUUAAAAAGUAGAAAUAUAUAUUGAACAAUUUUAUUAUAGGUUAGGAUUAUAUUUGCUUUUUUUAACACAAUGACUAGAAUUACGCGUAAUCUCUCCUAAAUUCACAAAUAGAAGGAUAACACGCUUCAACGCAUUUAAAUUCACGUCCUCAUGCCUAUCGAAUUAAAACUUAAUCGGCUAAAAAAAUACAUUUAAAAGUUUAUAAAAGAUUUAUAAAUAAAAAACAAUCAAAUAUAUAUUAACAAUUCAAAAAAUUCUAAACAAAAUCCAAAAGUGAAUUUGAAUAAAUCUAAAACAAUGUUUAUAGAAAGUAAGAUUGAAACCCAAAUUUUCAAAGUUGGGAAACUUAAUUUUUACCAUAAGAUGACAUUUAAAUUUGUUUUGAAUAAAAUAACUUGACCCAAUAAAAAUACAUUAUUUAAACCAAGGUUACAUUUAAGUCUUAAUCAAAUUAACGUUUUGUUUUCAGCCUCUAAUUUGUAUAUUGAAAUUGGAUUUUCACAAAUACAAUUUGACCAUUAUAAGUCUUUUUUAUACAAAUUAAAUUAAAAAUAUAUUAAUUUUAUUUAUUGACAAGCAAUUUUAUGGAAGGUGCUGUAGAAAUUUCUCAUGAAACCCCUCGCCUAUAAAUUAAUGAAACCAUCUAUCGCCUUGCUAUUAUUUAUUUUAAGAAAAUAAAAUUAUCAGCAUUAAAAAUAAUAUAUUAUGAAUCUCAACAAUUGUAAAUAUAAUAUUGCAAAGACUAUUUAUUAGUUCUCACCAGAAGAUUGAGAGGUUAGCAAGCGGACUCGCUGAUUCAACUCUCAAGGAGAGCUUGCACAAAUUAAGGGAAGACCGCGGUCUCAGUUCGCAUAUAUACUCAAGGAGCUCGCAGAAGGGAGACCUAGUGGUUUGGCAAGCAACCCAGAGUAAAAUACGUGCCCAACAUGCCUGAAGUCCGCUCAGAAUGUCAAUCCUAAGAAUAGUAAGGUCGAGUCAUGAAUGGAGUCAUGUCGUGAACAGUAAUAAUAUAUAUAUAAAUACCCAAAUAUUCUCAGACAAAAUUACUUAACAAGAUUAAUAUGAUAUAUAUUGAAUUGGUUCAAAAAUUAAUAUGUAUGGCAAAUACAAUUAUAUCGAUAAAUUUAACACAAAUAAAUUAUUAAAAUAUUAUUAAUAGUAGAAAUGACCCCAAAAAAAUCAAUUCAUAUAUUUAGAGUCGAUAGAAUCAUAUAUAUACACAAAUAUAUGAAUUUAAAGUGUUGACAACAACCUACAAUUAAAAGAAUUAAUAAAAUUUAAGUCUAAAUAAAUCUUAAAAGUCAAUGCAAAAUAAAGAGGAUUUAAAAUUUCUAAAUAUUUAUUUAUAUAAAAAAUUUUAAUUAUAAGUAUUAAUAUAUAAAGUGUUUUAAAUCGAUACCAUACAUAUAUGUAUUGGAUUGAUUCGAAAAUUUAUAUACAUGAUAAAUAUAAUUAUAUCGACAAAUUCAACACGUUAAAUAAUUAAAAUAAAUUAUUAUUAGUUGUAGAAAGGGCCAAAAAAGGUUGUUAGAAUUAUAUAUAUAUAUGAAUUUAAAGUGUUGACAACAACGCAAAAUUAAAAGAAUGAAUAAAAUUUAAGAUCAAAAUUAAUUUUAAAAGUCAAUGCAAAAUAAAGAGGUUUUAGUAACAACAUUUUUUUUUGUCGUUAUGCAUAUAAUAGCAAAUCACAACUACAAAACAUUUAUUUAAUAUAUAUUUUUUGUCUUUCAUACUAAAAAAAUUGAAAUAAUUUAUUCUCUUUCAAUUUUAAUAUGUAAGAAAGAUUAAUUUUUGAGCAUCAAUUUCUUAUUUAUUACUUAAUUAUUUUGAGCAUAUGAUAUAUCGUUGUAAAUAUGUCAUAGGGUAAAAUAUAAAACUAUAAUUUUUUUAUUUAGAUCUCCACUUUUACUAAUCGAGAAUAUGCCUCAAAACUUCCAAAAAUCAAUAUUUUCCAACAAUGAGCAUAAUUUAUUUAGAUCAAAUUAAGUUAUGAUUUAUGCUAUUUGAACCCAAAUUUUUAAAGUUGAUGCCCUUUAACUUUUGUCAACUGACAGAUGUAUAAAGUUUACUUGAAUAAAAUAAAACAAAAUUAAUAAUUUAAUUAAAUCAAUUUUACAUUUAAUCCUCAAUCAAAUUCAAAAGUAUUUUCUUUAAUAUACAAAUUAAAAUAAAUUGAUGAGCAAAUCCAUGAAAAGUGGUGCAGAAAUUUCUUAUGAAGCCCCUCUCCCAUAAAUUGAUGACAUCAACUAUUUUAUCUAAGAAAAAUAAAAAUUAGCAGCAUUAAAUAUACAUUAUCAUAUCAGAAUCUCAACAAUUGCAAAUAUAAUACUAUGCAAUAAGAAUGAUGACCCCAAUCGGGUUGUUGUAAAGUUUUAGGUUCGUUUUUUAGGUUUUGUCUAAAAAAAUAGGUCUAAAAUUUUAUUCAAAUUUGGUCCAAAUAAAAAAUAUUAAACUCGAGUUUGAUUCAGCCCGCCUGUAUUAAAUUUUUUUAUAUUAAUUUUAAAAAAAUAAUACAUCAAAUACACUAAAAAAAUUAAAAUAAAUAUUUCCCAAUAAAUUAAAAAUACAUUAAAAAUAAGUCUUUAUACUUAAAUAACACUAAAAUAGUUGCAACUUACAAUCAAAUGCCUCUAAAAUAAUAACAAAAAUAAUAAUAAGACAAGAGUUGUACAAUAUUCAAAUAAUAAUAACAAAAUAGUAAUAAUAUAUUACCAAAAUGUUGGCAAAAAAAAAUUUGACAGAUUCAAGCCGGGCCAAACCCGAUUCGUUUAAAAAACAUAUAUUAAUUUUUGUCCAAACCUAUUUUUUGAACUUAUAUUUUACCUAAAUCCUUACACUUUUUAAGUGGGUCUUUAAACCUAAACAGAUAAUCAAACUCAUAAUCGCUAAUCUCAGUGAUAAUAAAGCUCAAAAAGUAUUUUAAUAUAAACUUUUAAGAUAUGUUCCAACUUUAUUUUUAUAUAAAUAUGAAUUUUGAAACUCUAACCUAUUAUUAAAAGAAUUAAAAAAUUUUAAAUUCAAGUCAAAGUAAAUUUUAAAAGUCAAUGCAAAACAAAGAGAAUUUACCAAUAUAUAUAUAUAUUGGUCAUUAUGUAUAUAAAAGUGGUUGGACUCUAUAAAAAAAAUUAGUUGCAUAUGCCACUGAGUUCUCUCCAACGAGUUGCCAUGGAGCUGGCCAUGGUUGGGUUCUUUAGAUAGAGCUAAUCUCUCAUUUUUUAUAAGCCUCAAAUAUUCUUACCAACUUUGUAAUUAUAUUUUUGGCUUAACCAUAAAUUUGGCCACUAACGUUUGUAUAUUUUAUCAAAAUGACUUUAAUUGUAUUUUUAAAUCUUUUUUGGUAAUCAACUUUUAUUUUUUUUCAAUAUGUUUUUCUAACAAAUUUAAUGAAAAUACCGUUAAAAAUAAUUAACGGGGAUAAUGUGAAAUUGCAUAUGUGGAAUGUUUUUAAUGAGAUGUAAUUUACUACUUAGAUAACCCAAUAAGAUAAUUAUAUGUGGAAAAUAAUAAAAUAAAUAAAUAAUAUAUUAAAUAAAAAAACUCUUAAUUCAAAGAAAAUAAACGUAAUUAUCUAAAAAAAUUAAUUUAGUAGAAAAAUUUCUCAGUAAAGAAACGUAUGAAAGAUUGAAACCUAAAAAUUAAAACCUUAAAUUUAUUCAUUGCAUCUGUUAGAAAAAUCAGAUUGAUUCAUUACAUCCGUUGGAAAAAGCAGAUUGAAAAAAAAAAGAGAAGGAUGAUGGCAAAAAAGGCUCAAAAAUACAAUUAGGGCCAUUUUGACAAAACAUGCAAAUGUUAGUGGCUAAAUUUAUCAUUAAGCUUAUAUUUAUUUAAGAGUAAACUAUACUUAAUUUCAAAAAGUUUCAAAAUAACAUCGAAUUAUUCAUUUAAGUCAUUGAACGAUUCAAAAGUUUUUAUUUAAGUGAUAAUUAAAGUGUCCUGACAACAUGAAUUAAGCGAUGGUUAAUAUUCUUGUUAGAUACCCGUUUAACACAGAUUCAAACUGUGUUACUUUUUACUCUCGUUUGUGGUCUAAGGCAAGGUUAAAUAUAGGGUCAAAAGCCUUGCCCCGUUAAAAUAGAAAAGUGUGCUUUAAUCAUUUUAAAUUUUUUAACAUACAUAUAAAUUAAUGCGUGAUAAAAUUACAUUUUAAUUCCAAAUAAAAUGUUAAUAUUAUAAUUAAAUGAAGUGAUAUUAUUGCAAACCCGUAGGUAAUAUCCAAGGACCUUUCUUUAUAUCAAAAAAUAUAUAUAUAGAAGCGUAUAAGCUUCAUUUACAACCAACAAACCCUUAGCUAAUAUCUAAGGGCCUUUAUUUAUAUCAUAUAUAUACAUAUAUAUAUAUAUUAAAACUAAAGUAGCCUUCAUGUUUGUCAUCAAAACUCAAACAACCCUCCAUCGUCCAUUAUCCAUUUGUUCCAUUUUCUUCCGAUUCUCACCAACCCACCAUUCCGUUGGAAAUCCGUAGUCAUCCUUCACACGAUCUAAAUGUUUAUUCACGAGUGGUAAAUCAUAAUCCAUUCACCCGCCGGUGUAUCUUCUGCGAUGUUUUCGAUCGCAACACCAUGCAUAUACACAUCCAUGUUGUGACAACUAUACAGAUUCUCUAUCCAUCCGCUGAUAAUUAUUUCUUGAGCUUCAUGAUCAUCUUCAUUUACCAAGCUUAUAUCGAUACCUACUUCAUCUCCAUUUCCAUCAGGGAAAGCAUCAUCAGUGAAACCAAAAAUCUUCUCCUUUAAGUACUUUGACACUGAGGUGUUAACGUUCAACACGUUUCCGACAUCGGUGUAUCCUGAUACUAAAAGUACUGGAACGAAGUCCAUUUUGUUUUUCAUACGGAGGAGACGAAUGUUGUCGUCCCUGAGCGAAUCAAAUAGUUGUUUGAAACCAUCGUUUCCGACACGGGGACAACCGAACACAAAGGCGGUCACCAUGAACGGCGCCUUGCUUAUGGUGGGCUUGUUGCAUCUAUUGGCAACUAUGUCCAUUGCGGUCAAUGUUGCUAAUGCUCCACCUAAGCUAAACCCUGUGACCUUUAUGCUUAGUUCUUCAUCUCUGUACUUGUCCACUAGUUUGUUUACAGCAAUUAGGACCUGCAGAAGGGCAAGAAAUGGAUUAGAAUUUUGAAUUACUCGAGUUAGUCUGCUCAAUUUGAAACUUUUUCAAAUCAAA
rnacentral:lncRNA from 1 species